AGAUUCAAGAAAACCCAGACCAAGCUUGGGAUUCUAAGAGUCUCUCCGUGCAAGCUGACCUCAUGGAGAAAGUGGCAGAGCUUGUCCCUUCCACUGGGAGACCCUGGAGUUCAUUCAGGAGACUGGAUGCCCCUGGGCUCGGGCUGCACUGUGGACCCCACUGUGGAAUCACCACUCCCAGGCUGACCUCAGGCAGGUUCCAGAUCUGUUCUCCACUUCUGCAACAAAACUUACCCGGGCCAUGGUUUUAUGCAGAAAUCUGACAAGGCAGGUCCAUCAAGAGGUUUCCAGAAGAAGGCAUCGCUAUCACAGGAGAUGGCAGCUCCAUGCCUGUUACUGCCCCUGAAGAUGUUCCAGUGGGACAGGGUGUGGAGGUGGAAGACAGCAACAGUGACGAUCCUGACCCUAAGAGUUGGGUGCUUUUGUGCACAGAAGAAAAACAAAUACCUGGAAUUAGAAUUACUGACAAAAUAACUGGUUCACCAGCAGUCUUCAAAACCAUACAGGACCUGCUGGCUUGAGAUAAGUCCUCACAACUUUCACAUUUUCCUAUUCAUUGGAAAACCCAAAAGAGCCUCAUGGGGGGCCCAGUGAUUAAAGAUAAUUGUAAUCUUAGUAACAAUAAUAGCAACAGUCAUCUAUGGAGUAUUAUAGGCCUACCAACAUUCUAAAUCUGUAUGUGCAUUAUUUCAAAUUAUUUUAACAAUAACAGGAGGAAACAAUUAUAACUGAAAAAAAAAACCAGAUUGGAGAAUUUAAGCAAACGGCCUCAGGUUACACAUAUAAUAAUGAAAUAAGCAGGGAUUAAUCCCAGGAAGUCUGAUUUUAGAACUCAUACAAAUAACUAUUCUAUUUUAGUAUAUUGUAUGAAAGGGGAAUUUUGAGAAGGAAAAUGAAAAAUGAGGAAAAAUUGACGAUGUGAGUAUGUUUCAUUGGGGAAGACAAAUUUUGAAGUUAGGUUCACCUUAUUUUAUUAUUAUUAUCUUUUUGAGAUGGAGUCUCACUCUGUCGCCUAGGCUGGAGUGCAGUGUCACCAUCUUGGCUCAGUGCAACCUCUGCCUCCCAGGAUUAAGCAGUUAUUCUGCCUCAGCCUCCCAAGUAGCCAGAACUACAGGCACAUACCACCACACUUGGUUAAUUUUGGUAUUUUUAGUAGAGAUGGGGUGUCCCCAUGUUGGCCAGGCUGGUCUCAAACUCCUGACCUCAAGCGACGCACCCGCCUCAGCUUCUCAAAGUGAUUACAGGCAUGAGCCACCGUGGCCAGCCACCUUAAUUUUUGACUUGCUGUCCUUCAUCUAUGAGCUAAAGAGGCUCCAGAACUUAAUUAACACUAGUACCUGUCAACCCAGUUCAUCCCCUGCCCCAGAAGCAGAGCUUUUCUGCACCUGUCGUCUCACAUAGUCUCAUCCGCUCAUUGCUCUCACCUUCGCCCUUGAUUUCUUUACAUUUGCCUCCAGGUUUUGCGUUCUGUCACGUAUUCUAUUCACCGUUACAAAUGCAUGUUCCAGAGAAGGAUCACUCAAUUCUGCCCCAUGUUGCCACUUCUGAGCAAAGGGCUGGCCUUCAGAGCCAGGGAGAUAACUUCAGACUGUAUUCUAUAAAUAACCACUGGAAGAGUGGAGGGGGACGUCACUUGGCAUUCAUAAGUUUCUGUCAGCCACAGAAAUAAUCAAAUUUCCUUGUCAAUUGUGUCUUUAGCCAUGGCUAUUCUAAGUCUUUUGUCAUUCAUAGACAAUAUCACUUUACUUUGAUUCAUUUCAAAAAGUGGUUUAUAGUUGGCUAUAGCCAAAAAUUUACUUCUUCUACAAGAAAAUUCAUGAAAAAGACCACAACAAGUACUCUUGAAUGUAGAUUUUUGAUAAUUUUGGAGAUUAUACCAUUGGAUUAGGUAAAAACUUACAAAACUCUAGUAAACGAAUGAGUUCAUGAAGAUUACUAACCCAACAUCAAGUAGAACAAAAUUAAUUACAU
ensembl:lncRNA LINC02717 long intergenic non-protein coding RNA 2717